GCAUUAAUGGGGUAGUGGUAACCUCGAUCGUUGCCAUCUUAGAGAUUGAUUCGAUCGGCCCCCGGUUCAAUUCCGGGUUAAUGCA